AGACGUAGGGGGCGAGCGUUACUCGGAAUCACUGGGCGUAAAGCGCGCGCAGGCGGGCUGAUAAGUUGGAUGUGAAAGCCUACGGCUCAACCGUAGAACUGCAUCCAAAACUGUCAGUCUAGAGUGUGGGAGAGGAAGAUGGAAUUAGUUGUGUAGGGGUAAAAUCCGUAGAGAUAACUAGGAAUACCAAAAGCGAAGGCAAUCUUCUGGAACACUACUGACGCUGAGGCGCGAAGGCGUGGGGAGCAAACAGGAUUAGAAACCCUGGUAGUCC
rnacentral:rRNA from 1 species